GGCACAUCACAGCAAAAGACGCAGACAAGGUAACGAGGACCCAAGAGAAGUUUACAAGCGACUUUACGACUCCAUCCAUGUAAGCGUUAAAAAUCAGAUUGAGCAGAGGUUUCAAAAUCUUGAAUGUAUGAGGUUUAUGGAGCUUCUAGAUUUUGACCUAUAUGACUCCUACAAAAAAGAGUUUCCACAGGCAGCAUUCACAAGUCUGAAAGAUAACUAUGGUCAUUUAUUCGAUAUGGUAAAACUGAAGUCAGAACUGCAGGUGUUUUACAAUAACAAGGACCUCCAGGGCAGCGCUAGGUUGUGUGAUUCACUGUGCGCAAUGAAAACCAAUGAACUGAGCGAAGCAAUGCCUGAACUGUACAGACUAAUGUGUCUCGUUGCCUCUAUCGGGGCUACGUCUGCCGGGGUGGAGAGAAGUUUCUCUUGUCUGAAAAGACUGAAAACGUAUGCAAGGAACACAAUCGGACAAGAUCGACUGAGGAGCUUGGCUAUCAUCGCACUUGAAAGAAGGAUUCUAAAAUCUCUUAGAGAGAAUCCACAGUGGUAUGAAAAGACCAUAGACAUCUUUGCAGCACAAACAAACAGGAGAAUGGACUUUACUUUUAAGUAGGCCUAAAUUAUUUUUCUAGGCCUAGGCUAUAUUUCAUUUUCUUUUGUACUUUUUUUUAAAUUGUUGAAGGGAAACAAAAAGCAGAGACAAGACCGUUUUUGCAAUCAACGUUACAGUUUUUUUUAAAUCUGGGGAUGGAUGGCUGAGUUGGACACGUUCUGGAUCCACACGACCUUAGAUGAAGCCAGCUGCAACCCGUAGAGUGGAGUCGUGGAGAGAGCCCCUCGCCCCUCAGCUAAACCAGAGUAAAUGAAGCCAGCACCAACCUGUGGAGUGGAGUCCAGGAGAGAGCAUGCCGCCCCUCAGCUAAACCAGAUUAGAUGAAGCCAGCUGCAACCCGUAGAGUGGAGUUGUGGAGAGAGCCCCUCGCCCCUCAGCUAAACCAGAGGU